CAAAAGUAGUCAACAUGACUAGCUUUAGCUGUCCAUGCAAGUCAUGUGAUGCCAACCAAUUCAGAUGAAGAAAUGGACAAUGUAUCCCGGCAACCUUCUAGUGUGAUGGUGUCAUCGAUUGCGACAACGAUGAAGUUGGAUGCUUGGUACAACCUCAUUUCACACCUCCCUCUAUCCCCACACUGUCACCAGUUCCCGGCUCUCAUGUGGUGCCAGUCAACCAGUCAACUCCUUUCCACGACGGCCAUCAGACACACACCAAACCUCAAACUUGCCACUCUCGCUGGUCAGGCUGGAUCAACACGCACCACCCUAAGGACCCAGGAAUUCAUGGGGAUCAUGAGCCCUCUGCCGCCCAAUUUUCCAAAACCAACAAUUUCUGUAUUAGUGGCUCUAUAACAAAAGUUGAAUGUUACUCUGUCUCAAUGGAUGCCCCUGCUGAGUCCUCGGGCGAGAUCCUGACCUGUACCCCCGACAGGGGACUCGUGUGUGGCGACUCGGACAAAUUUCCAUUCCAUGCAGAGAUUACAAGAUCAGAUACAUCUGCGCAUGUGCUAACAAUACCUCAGUUGUGUCCCCUGUCACAACGCCAGCCCCUCAGCCCUCUCGUGAUUCUGUCCACUGCCAAGCUCUGGUCAAACCUCCUAUGAUGCCCGGGGAGGUGGCCCGAAUCGUGAAGACCGCUGACAGGUGUUGUGAUAAGUAUGAGUUGGUUUGUAAGCCUGAAACCUGUACGAUCCACCCCCUGACUUGCACCCCUCCUCAGCUAAUGAAGAAUAUCAACCCGGGGGAAUGCUGUCCAACAUUCCAGUGUGAGUGCCCAGCAAUGUGUCCAACCGCAGUUAAACCGACAUGUCAAGUGGUAA